CACCGCGGUUAUACGAGAGGCCCAAGUUGAAAGACACCGGCGUAAAGCGUGGUUAAGUUAAAAUUUAAACUAAAGUUAAACAUCUUCAAGACUGUUAUACGUACCCGAAGACGGGAGCCCCAAUCACGAAAGUAACUUUAUAUAAGCUGACUCCACGAAAGCUAUAGCA
rnacentral:rRNA from 1 species